CCGCGGUCUUUCCUAAUGCCUGCAUUCGGACCUCUGUUAAACUGCCGGUUAGCGCCGGUUUUUUCCCGGGAAGGGUUCUGGGAGACGGAGGAGACGCAGCAGUUCGCCCUCGCCACCUCCAGGGGGCGGCGGUCCGCUCCCAGCCACACUCGAGCAGGCCCCUCCCACCCAGAGGCCGUGACUCCAAGUCAAGUGACGGUGGAAUCAGCUGACCCGGCGCGAGCGGAAAAAGGAAUUACCCGGCGCGGGCUUCCUGGCGCGAUGAGGUUCCGGUUCUGUGGCGAUCUGGACUGUCCCGACUGGGUCCUGGCAGAGAUCAGCACGCUGGCCAAGAUGUCCUCUGUGAAGUUGCGGCUGCUCUGCAGCCAGGUACUAAAGGAGCUGCUGGGACAGGGGACUGAUUAUGAGAAGAUCCUGAAGCUCACGGCUGACACCAAGUUUGAGUCAGGCGAUGUGAAGGCCACAGUGGCAGUGCUGAGCUUCAUCCUCUCCAGUGCGGCCAAGCACAGUGUUGAUGGCGAAUCCUUGUCCAGUGAACUGCAGCAGCUGGGGCUGCCCAAAGAGCACGCGGCCAGCCUUGUGCCGCUGUUACGAGGAGAAGCAAAUUCCCUUGCAGAAGCACUUGCGGGUCUGCAGCCUCCGCACAAAUAGGUUGGCAGGUGUGGGCUGGCGGGUGGACUACACCCUGAGCUCCAGCCUGCUGCAGUCUGUGGAAGAGCCUAUGGUGCACCUGCGCCUGGAGGUGGCAGCUGCCCCAGGUACCCCAGCCCAGCCUGUUGCCAUGUCCCUCUCAGCAGACAAGUUCCAGGUCCUCCUGGCAGAGCUGAAGCAGGCCCAGACCCUGAUGAGCUCCCUGGGCUGAGGAGAAGGGAGUUACAGGCCUGUGUGGAGCCGCCUUAACCUAUACGGAAUCAUGCCAUCUGCACUGCUCUUCAGGAGGUGCCCCGCUUCUAGGAAACUGGGGCCAUAGCUGGGCUCUGGCCUCCCAGAUCCCCGGCUGCCUCACUUCUCUCAUGAGAGCUCGGCUUAGGGCUCCUGAGGACCUUUCCCAACAUUCCCUUCCCUUCCCUUGAAAGGCAGUUGUUGGCCAUUUUCGUGAGCAGGAAAAAUAAACAGAAGGAAAAGGAA